UGGCGCGUAGCUCAAUGGCAGAGCGGACGGUUGUUACCCGGACGGUUGCUGGUUCGAAUCCAGCCGUGUCAG
rnacentral:tRNA from 1 species